CGAGGACGAACGCUGGCGGCGUGCUUAACACAUGCAAGUCGAACGAGUGUAUGAAGGAGCUUGCUCUUGAUUACACGAGUGGCGGACGGGUGAGUAACGCGUGAAUAAUCUGUCCUAUACAGGGGGAUAACGCAUCGAAAGAUGUGCUAAUACCGCGUAGGACCACAGCAUCGCAUGGUGCAGGGGUGAAAGGAGCAAUCCGGUAUAGGGUGAGUUCGCGUCUGAUUAGAUAGUUGGUGAGGUAACGGCUCACCAAGUCAACGAUCAGUAGCCGACCUGAGAGGGUGAUCGGCCACAUUGGGACUGAGACACGGCCCAGACUCCUACGGGAGGCAGCAGUGGGGGAUAUUGCACAAUGGGGGAAACCCUGAUGCAAGCGACGCCGCGUGAAGGAGGAAGUGCUUCGGCAUGUAAACUUCUAUCAGCAGGGAAGAAGAUGACGGUACCUGACUAAGAAGCCCCGGCUAACUACGUGCCAGCCGCGGC
rnacentral:rRNA from 1 species